AUUUUAACUGAACCUUAUUCUUUUUGUGUGUGUGUGUGUGUUGAGUGAGUGAGUGGGCAAGGGUGGGUGUGUGAACCUUAGUCAGUCAGCCAGUCCGAUAUUCAGUUAGUUCAGAGUAGCUUUCAAUGUAUUAAGGUCAGUCAGUCAGAUAUUCAGUCAGUUCAGAGUAGCUUUCAAUGUAUUAAGGUCAGUCAGUCAGAUAUUCAGUCAGUUCAGGGUAGCUUUCAAUGUAUUAAGGUCAGUCAGUCAGAUAUUCAGUCAGUUCAGAGUAGCUUUCAAUGUAUUAAGGUCAGUCAGUCAGAUAUUCAGUCAGUUCAGGGUAGCUUUCAAUGUAUUAAGGUCAGUCAGUCAGAUAUUCAGUCAGUUCAGGGUAGCUUUCAAUGUAUUAAGGUCAGUCAGUCAGAUAUUCAGUCAGUUCAGGGUAGCUUUCAAUGUAUUAAGGUCAGUCAGUCAGAUAUUCAGUCAGUUCAGGGUAGCUUUCAAUGUAUUAAGGUCAGUCAGUCAGAUAUUCAGUCA